GUUUGGUGCGUUCGAGUGAAAUAUUUUGAUAAUAUUACCAUUGCAUUUUUGCAUUGCGCUACCCCAUGGACUCAUUAACUACUUUCUUGAGUUUCUUGGACGUCGUCACAUGAAAUAAUAUACGACCGAGCUUGCUCCCGACCAAGCACGAUCAGAUUCCUUGGGAGUUCUUCGGCAGACGAUUUCUAUGCACCGGCUCCAUGAGACGAAGAACAAAACAGCAUGCCACCUGACUGAUGACCCACCCACCGUUUACCCGGCCCCAGGAGCUAGAAGGCCUUGAGACAAAAGCUCGGGCAGGAUUCUGAUGGGCGCAACAGAAUAUCAUCUACGAUGCUUGUCCCACGGCCUGACUGAAUAAUAUUUGUAUAACCAAUGGAAGGAAAAAACAGUAGAACAUUGAAAUUGGCUCGUAGGCAAGACGGAAGAUGGUCAAAACCGGUCAGAAAAUGAUGGCCUAGACACGGUUGGAGAGCUCUUGUUGGCAGAAACCACCUGAAGAUGGUCAGAUGACAUCAGCAACCUUGUGGUGAUACAAUGAACCGGAGCGGCACCGAACUGAAAAAGUUGAAAAACUUGGCAUACAUACUAUGAGACCUAUUUGAUGACUGAUAUAAGCCAAGUUCAGAGUGAUUAUUGUGAUAGUUGAUAACUAAGAAUACCUAAUAUGCUUUUAUGGUGUGUGAAAUAGUAUACUUUUUAUAAUUUAUUAAUUAAAAGUUUAAUAAAUGUUUUACUUACCUAAAGAAAA